AUCUUUAUUAUUCAUAAUAAUUAAUUGCCAUAUAUAUGUAAAUCAUAUUAGGUAAUUCCGUAGCUUUUAUUUAAAGAAAGAAUACAUACUUCUUAUAUUUUAUGUUAAUAUAAUGUUCUCUAGUGUUAUAUAAUUAUGGAAUAAUGUGACACCAUUAGAUUAAACUAUAUUUUAUAUUAGAUGUUCUAGAAUUCUUUGAAAUUGAAUUUAUAAGACAUUUAGAGUGUCACCUAGAAUUUGAAAUUUUUUUUAAUUAAUACAAAAUUAAGGUUUUAAUUUUUCAAAUGUUUCUCGGGAUGUUUUUAAACGUCUUAUAUGAUAGUUACUGGCUUCUGUAUAUAGUCUGUUUACGGUUUGAAACACUAGAGUACAAAUUACUUUUGGUCAUUGUUUGGAGAUAAUAUCUUGGGUCAAAAGUCAUAGUUAAAAGUCAUUUUCAAAUAUAAUUGAAAGUGGACUAAGGCAUAUGGAUUGAGAGGUAAUGGGCAUAUUUGCAAAAUGCCCCAUCUAAUUAUUCUGACUGAUAUUUUAAUGAGUAAAUUAGCUAAAUAUACUAACAAAGGUGGGAUAUCAUUGAAUGGGGGAAAAAUGGUAAUGUUGGGGGGAAGAAAAUUGGAGGGAUAUAGAGUAUGAAGUGCAAAUAAAGAAAAAGUUGUGUGUAGGAAGUACAAAUUCUCUAUUUUAAUUGUGCCUUGAAUAUUUCUUGGUCAAAGGUUUUUGUGUAGAAAAGAAGAAAAAGAAUAAGGCUUGUUAGAAACUUUCAAAUUUAGGUGUUUUAAUUGGUAGCACAAAAGGGACGUGGUCUACCGAAGCAAUUAAUUAAUUAAUAGUUUCAUUAAAUGGUCUUUAGACCAAAUUAAAUUAAACUUGACUCGAUCUCUUAGCAUGUGGUGGACCGUAUCUAUCUCUUUCCUUUGAAAAUUCUCAUGUGAAGAGAGUUGAUGAUGAGGGCCCUACUUCCACUAUAGUGGUGCCAUUGAGAGCGAUUGCGGUUGACCCAUUUACAACUUUUCUUUCCUUUAUAAGAAAUAAAAGUAUUUCCUUUUUUUUUCACUUCGCACUAUUUUAAUAAAAAACAAUUUUGUUCGAUAUUCUAUUGGUAAUCUUACUCAGUAGAAUUUUUUUUUUGUUCAACUCUCACUAGAAUCUAAUCCUUUUUUUUUGCGAUGAUGUUUGUACCUAAAUUUCUUCAAUAUAUGUGCAUUAUAUAUCAAGAUUUAGAUGCCAAGUGUUUCUUUUUAUAUAUGUAGAAAUAAUAAUUCGAAUUGGUAGAUUCUAAACAACAACAAAUACAAUAGGAGAGAAAACACCUUAUUCAUUGUGUAAAAUCUAAUUUACUAGUUACCAAAAAGUUAAUCAUUUUGUGGUUUUGAAAUAAAGCAAAGCAAUAAAAGUCAAAAAGUAAUGGAGAUGUGGUGCGAAUAGCAAUAAUGUUUCAAAGUGGGUUUUGACGUCUUGUGAGUUGUGACCAUGAACCUACACAUUUCCUCAGACAAAAACAAACAGAAAAUACAGCAAGAAAAUUAGCCAGAACACAGAAUGGGCCUAAUAUCAGACAUUGUCAAGGGCUAUCUAUAAGUUUAUAUGCAACUAAUAAAAUUUAUGCAAUUCAAAAACCAAUUCGUAUGAUAAAGUUAUAAAUGUGGUAAGUGCGGUUAGUUCUGGAGCUUUUAAAGAUGCUUUCAUUUUUGUAAGUGUUGCGUUUUUCAAUUCAAAGUUAAUUGGUGAUUGUUAUAAGAUAAACUUUGAAAUGAUC